AGUGAACGCUGGCGGUAGGCCUAACACAUGCAAGUCGAACGGCAGCACAGAGGAGCUUGCUCCUUGGGUGGCGAGUGGCGGACGGGUGAGGAAUACAUCGGAAUCUACUCUGUCGUGGGGGAUAACGUAGGGAAACUUACGCUAAUACCCCAUACGACCUACGGGUGAAAGCAGGGGACCUUCGGGCCUUGCGCGAUUGAAUGAGCCGAUGUCGGAUUAGCUAGUUGGCGGGGUAAAGGCCCACCAAGGCGACGAUCCGUAGCUGGUCUGAGAGGAUGAUCAGCCACACUGGAACUGAGACACGGUCCAGACUCCUACGGGAGGCAGCAGUGGGGAAUAUUGGACAAUGGGUGCAAGCCUGAUCCAGCCAUACCGCGUGGGUGAAGAAGGCCUUCGGGUUGUAAAGCCCUUUUGUUGGGAAAGAAAUCCAGCUGGCUAAUACCCGGUUGGGAUGACGGUACCCAAAGAAUAAGCACCGGCUAACUUCGUGCCAGCCGCCGCAGUAA
rnacentral:rRNA from 1 species